GACGAACGCUGGCGGCGUGCUUAACACAUGCAAGUCGAGCGGUAAGGCCUUUCGGGGUACACGAGCGGCGAACGGGUGAGUAACACGUGGGUGAUCUGCCCUGCACUUCGGGAUAAGCCUGGGAAACUGGGUCUAAUACCGGAUAUGACCUCCUAUCGCAUGGUGGGUGGUGGAAAGAUUUAUCGGUGCAGGAUGGGCCCGCGGCCUAUCAGCUUGUUGGUGGGGUAAUGGCCUACCAAGGCGACAACGGGUAGCCGACCUGAGAGGGUGACCGGCCACACUGGGACUGAGACACGGCCCAGACUCCUACGGGAGGCAGCAGUGGGGAAUAUUGCACAAUGGGCGAAAGCCUGAUGCAGCGACGCCACGUGAGGGAUGACGGCCUUCGGGUUGUAAACCUCUUUCAGCAGGGACGAAGCGCAAGUGACGGUACCUGCAGAAGAAGCACCGGCUAACUACGUG
rnacentral:rRNA from 1 species